UACGAAGGGGGCUAGCGUUGUUCGGAUUUACUGGGCGUAAAGCGCGUGUAGGCGGACUUGUAAGUUGGGGGUGAAAUCCCGAGGCUCAACCUCGGAACUGCCUCCAAAACUACAAGUCUGGAGCAAGAUAGAGGCAAGUGGAAUUCCAGGUGUAGCGGUGAAAUGCGUAGAUAUCUGGAGGAAUACCGGUGGCGAAGGCGGCAUCCUGGACCGGCAUUGACGCUGAGGAGCGAAAGCUAGGGGAGCAAACGGG
rnacentral:rRNA from 1 species